AUCGCGUCCGGGGGGCCAGAGAGGUGCUGCCUUUCGGGACGCGUCAGGGGGGUUACAGAAUGCUCGCAGCUGUUGCGGCCCCGCGCAGGCUUCCGGAGGAGCCGCCGGCGCUGGGGCCGCGUUGCCGUUCCCGGGGUGGCGGGGCGCUUGCCGCCGCAGCCCCUUCUCUCCUCGCGUCGGGGCACUGUACCCGCUCGCCGCCUGGUUCCGCGCCGCGCACGGCGCGUUAGAACAUUUAAGAACUCCGGUUCCAGCCCCGCGGUUCGGCGUCUCCGUCUACGCGGGGCGGACGCGGUGGGGGCGGGGAGCCUCGGGCCGCCCCGGGUCCUAGCGCCCGCCGCGUUCUGCCCCCGGCAUCUUCCGGGGCCUCUGCCACCCGCUGCUCGUUGGCCCGCGCACGACCUCGCAGGCUGCCAGCGCGCUCUGCUCUUCCUCCUGUUUCAGAGUCUGGGGUACCACCAAAGUGGCAUUAGCCGCACUGAUUACGUAAUAACGUGAGCAAUGUCUCAAGCGCGGUGCGGGCGAUGUGGGAGAUGCUCAGUGCAUCCGAGAAAGCGGGGGCUUCGCCGGUGUGCUCAGUGCUGCGCCCUUCACGUCGAGAGCAGUGCCGAGGACUCGACAGGCCUUUGCUGACCUCGAGGAUGAAGGGCAGCUCCGCCACGGGUUGCGGAAACGCGCUGGAACCCGAGCGUGACCGCUCGCUGACAGCCUGCCAGGACGUCUCAGCCGCACACCUGCCGCGAGGAACCGGGCCUGCCACACCUUCCUGCCGGCCGGAUGAGCCCCUAGGUUUUGUUUUUCUUGGAUGAGGUCAUAGCUUCACAUGGUAGGUAACUAAAUGGGUGUGUCCCCAGCCUGAACCUUUUUCACCCGUCACUGCUCACCACCGUCUCCCAGAUGUAACUCCUAUUCUGAGUUUCACGCGUAUGCUCCCUGAUGUCCUUAUGCGUGGAGAUGUAAAUAUGAAUAUAAAUGUUCCCUUUCUAGUUACACAAAAUGUCACAUUGUACACGCUAUUUUGCAUCGUGCUCUUUUCACUUGAGGUAUCUUGGAAGUAUGGGUUGAUCAGCAUAUAUCGAGUUCCCAAACAGCAUACUUAUAUAGUAUAUAUAUAGAAACAGAGCCCAUUUUCAGUUGAACUGGUCCAGCUAGCCAGAAGUUGAAGCUGAACUUUUGAAUCCAUUUUACCCCUGACUCAUGAAGUAUACAAGUAGGGCUGGCGAGAGGGCAGGAACAGGGCGCCUUUAAUUUUCUGUUAAAAUGUGAAUAAAACACUUUCUCUGAAUUUCCAAUAGUACUAAAGUAGCAGCGCCAAAACACACUGUUGAUCAAAGGAAAUUAUGUAUAGAUUUAUUCAAAGGCAAUUUUCAAAAAAAGGUAAAACUAGGACUCACAGAGAACAAAAAUGAGCCUGUUGUUAGACAAUAAGAUAUUUUCAAUUGUUUUAGCUCACAAAAGCGAAGUCUAUCAAAUUGUUACAAGUCACAGCAUAGACUGAGGAAAGAGAAAGAGCUUCUUUGUAGAUCUAGAAGAUAGAACUCUGUAACAGCAUCAACAAUAUUCCAGACAAACAGACAAUAUCCCAGUCACCUCUCAGUCAGUCCUCUGUUAUUCUUGCUCCCCCAGAUCUUGAGUUAACAAUUAUAAGGGUAAAUGGAAAUUAUUUUCUCUGAUUAUAUAGCGAAAGUGCCCUUCUUCUACCCCCCGCCCCCACCUCCUUCCCUGCAGUGUUUCUUGGAUACGUAGUGAAUCUGAGUCCUGACUCCAGGCUUCGGAAUAGAGAUCAAUGUCUCUAUGGAUGAAGUCUGGUCUUCAAUUUUUACCAUGCAGAGUAUCUCUAAGGUUGUGAGCCAAAUAACCUCUAGGUAUAUAAGAAUGUACCUCCAGAAUUAGGUCAGGACGCUCUCAGGAGAUUGACGGGAGACUCACAAGGUGCAGCCCUUUGCUUCUCAAGGAGAUAAAGAGAAGUCAAUAUUCUUUCUUCAGCUUUGCUGUAAACAAUGAGUCAGUGUUUAUACUUUUGUCAUCACUUUGGUGAUACCCUAAAUACAUGUAAAUACAGUAAAUACUUCAUUACGUGUCUUCUCUUUCUUCUAUUGAUAAGGAAGCAUCUUUCUGCUGGUGGGGUCAUUUUCUUUCCCCACCACAGUUUCAUGAACCCACGUGCUUCUUGAGCAGAAUUCUGGAAAUCCAGACUCAGUAGGAUGGUUAUGUUCUUAAAGCUGUUGAAGCCACACCAUCAGGAGUGUGUAAGCAAGCGAAUCUGGCAUAGUCAUCUUUUCCUAAGAAGCUUUGAGAUGGUCUCUUUGUUGGAGAUGAAGCUGAUCGCAAGUCCUUUCCCAACAAAAUAACUGUCUAGGGCGAUGACAAAAGAUUUUAAAUGUUGUGAUUGAUUUAUUACUUAUGAUUUUCCAAGGCGAAAGGGUUGAUGAGAAUUCAUAACAACCAUAAUGCCACUAACAAGGAAUUCUGGUUGUUUCUGUGACAUGCAAAACAACAUAACAAAGCCAAUCCAAAAUAAGUUCUAGAUAAAAUAGUUGUAGACAUAAUGACCUAUCAUAUUUUCAAAGAAGAUAGAAAACACUGCAUUUAAUUUAUAGAAAUGGAUAAACAUAAUUUCCACAGAGAAAAAGUCUUGAAACGGACAUACGCUAAUCCUGAGACAUCCUAUGCCACAAACGUACAAGUCACAUAGUAGGAAUAUAAAAGGACGAUGUCCACAGUAUGAAGCAAAGAGGCUUGGUAAGUCGGGAGUAGGUUCUACAUAUUUAUACAUUAGAGACUUAUUAAUAAUAAGUGAUGUAAGUCCCCAAUUAAAACUCAGUAGCCCAGAAGAUGCUAGAUUCAAAUUAAAGAAGUGAAGUUGCGACUGAGUUUACAUAAAAGAAAUUGCUGGGAUUAUGACUGAUUACACUCUACCCCUGUUGUCUAUUAUCAACCAAACAACACCAGGAAUUUAUAUGUUGAUAGAAACAUCUCAUGGACAGUAAGAGCAAUGAUGAAUCUCCGGGAAUUUCCCAUUUGAUGUAAAGCUUCUACAAUAUUUAUAUUAACAUCUUAUCCAUGCAAAUUUGACUUAGGGAAGACUAAGCCUUUCUCCUUCUCUUCUCUUCUCUUCCCUCCUUCUUCUUCUUCUGAUUUUCAAGUCUUCUUGUGCAACUUAGCUAUAGUGACAUAUCAGAUAGCCGUGGUUCUUUCCAGCAUCUCUCUUUUUACAGGAUUUUCUAGGUACCUCCCAGGAAGUCUCAAAGACAGUGGUAGGUGGAAAAGAUAUCUUGAAAGUUUUAUUGUACAUUUAGGAUUUCAUUUGGAGAGGACAAAACUUAAAAGUUGUCAGGCCAUUUGAACACUCAGGAGAAGAAUCAGAUCAUGGUUACUGGAGAAAACACUUGGCUACUUGUUUCAAAGUUACAGUAAAACAUUUUAAAAUAAGCAUGGAAGGUAACAUGAUUGUCAAGAACUGUAGCUCAUUCCUAUAUGAGGGAACUUUGUUGUCUCAAAUGAUUAAAGACAGCACAGUCAGCAUAAACUAAAAAAGGUUAUCUCUAAAAUACAGAAUAUUUGCUCUCCAAGAAGGGAAGACCAAAAAGGACCCUGUCAUAUUAUGGGGAAGGCAAGAAGCAGUAAACCAAAGAAACAUCAAGACACAUCAAAAGGAAGCAAACUUUCCUAGAUUUUAAUACAGUUCAUGGCUUUUAAAACUCAGGUAUUAUAAAUGAGGAUAAAUAAAUAAGGUUUUCAAAUUCUGUCCUUUGUUAUGCUCUUCCCCAUCCUGGAACACUUUGGCACUGUACUUCAGGACUGGCUUCAGGAAUCUACAAGGUUGGAACUAAUUCCAUACUAUUACCAAGCUGUCCCCAACAUGGGUUGUGUUCCCCUUUGUUAUUGUCAAAUGAGUUAAUCAGUAGCGAUUGUAAUCACUUGUGUUGGAAUUGUUUGUAACAGAAUAAGCAUUCCAAGUUUGUAAUUUAGGUACUUAAAUCUCUGAUUUAAGUUUAUUCAGUUGUUUACAGGGCUUUUCAACAGCAGCUUUCCAGUGUAAAGGAUCCUUGGAAUACCAAAAUUCUGACUAUUGCCCCAGAUGAGUCGACUGGCCCAUCGAAGCAUAAAAGAAAGGAACAGGAGACUCUUGAGAUGUAAGAGAAAUAAUCUGUCUGUUCCAGCAUGUACAGAAAUAGAUAAACCAACCAUUAACAACCAUAUUUCACGAUUUGAUUUAUAAAUCUGUUUAAAACCCUAGGCAACUGCUUAUAAACUGCCAGACAGACUUAUUUUCAUAUAUUUUUCCUGUUGUGUGCAGCAUUUUUAUUUGUUUAUUUUGAUCUGCCGGUCUUGUUUUCUUGAAUUUGUUUUAGUCAUUAUCUUUCUAGGGAUAUUUCAUGUCAGCCCACUAUAGAAAAAAAAUCUUUACUGAAUCCAUUAUCUUGCAAAACUUAUAUGUUCUGUCAUUUCUCCUAACUUCCUUCCUCCCCUUCCUAAGUUUGGCCAAAGACAUAGGAGAGAGGACUCAGCUUUUUUAUCCAUCACGCAGGCUGCGGGGGCCAGGGUGGUGGUCUGGGGAUAUAUUAAUAAUGGUAUUAAUUAUGGAGGAGCCUCCCUUUCAUCUGUUGCGAGUUUGGGGCAACCGGCAGUGUUAUGGAGGCAAAUUUGGUUCUUGAUUGUUCGCUUCAUGAUUUAGACAAGGAUUGACAGGUACUGAUAGCAUAUGUGUUCCUCCCUGAUGGAGCUUUUUGUAGGUAGAGGGCAGGAAUAACACUUUAAUAUAUGAUCUAUAGGUCUAAUGGUAUUUUCAACCUUCCCUGGAUUUAGUUUCUGCUGAGAGAGAAUACUGCAGUAUUAAAGUUACAUGAGGCCUGUAACUGAUAGGGGAAGAAAGAUGAUCUGCCUUUUGCCUUUCUGAGAUCUUAGCUGAAACCCCUGUAAGGAAAGACGAAGAAGAGGAAAACAAACUGAAUUUGUUAACACAUUUACCAGGUAAAGGUGGGAGACACCCCAGGAAAGACAGGUAACUGUCCACGUGGCUCGGAAGUCCAAGUCAUGUAGCACCUUUAACAACAGACUAUAAAUUGGUGGUGAAAUGAUGGAACAAAGGAAGGCAGAAUCAGGCCAAGGGCAAAGAUAAAAGUUAGUAAAGUUCCGUGAUUUCAUUUCCAGGAAAACAGGCUCUGAAGUUGUCUCUGGGGAUUAACCUUUGUCUUUUCAGGUAGACAGGGAAGGCGGGACCUCUGUGUAAACCCCUGUCCUGCUUCUAGGCAGGUUGGGGGUGGGGCAGAGAACUUUUUGGGAAUCUGGUUCUUCUCACUUGCUUUCAGCUCACAAUACAUCUGUAUACCAAAGUGGCAGAUUUGGAUGGUAUUGUCUGACGCCCUUCAUCACCAUCUUUCUGUUCACAUCCCUUUGGAAAUUGGAAGGGGCAGAACAGCUAGGAAUAAAAGGAGGAUGAAACCAAGUUUACUCUGGAGUGUAGGUGGGAUUUCAGGCAUGGGGCAGGACCAGGUUAUAGUCAGUGAUUCUCAAGGAACUCCAGUCAUAACCUUUGAAAUCUCUUUGCAUAAGAUGGAAGAGCCCAGUGCGUGGGGUAGUGCUACACAUAUGUUUUAGCUUAUGAACUAAGAUAUCACCGAAGAUUCUACAGUCCAUUUGUGAUUUAUUUCUUCAAAAUGUCAUUGAGCCCCAGUCUUGUCCUUCAAACUCAGUGGCUUGUCUGAUGCACAAGGAUGACAGCUCUUAGGGUUGCCCAAAACCAGAACGGUGAGAGUGUAAGUGUCCCACGCGCUCCCUUACUUGUCCUCAUAAACCAUGAGUCUGACUCAAACCGGACUCCAUAGCUUAUUACUUCUUGGUCUGACCCUGACAACCAGACUCCGUCAUUGAGCUGAAAAUGUUGGUCAUCACAGAAUCAGAGACUGGAGACUGAACUUCCAAGACAGAGUGUGAGACAUUGCUUUCUAUCACCUAACGGCAAGAGAACUGGUGCUCGGGGCCUAACCUGGACUUCCCUAUCAUCAGCAAAGCCAUUGCUUUGACCACCUACAGAAAUGUGACUCAUUUUCCCUUCAUCCCAACCCUCAUGAUGGGAUGCAAUUGCCUCGCAAGAGACUCUCCCCCGUUGGUAUAACAAUUGAACAUAGGCUUUACCUACCAUAUAAAUUCUUCAAGGCCUCUCCAACAUAUUCCAGGGCAAGGACACCGUUGAAAAUAGAAAACGAAACAAAGAAGGCCCCGCUGGGAUUCGAACCCAGGAUCUCCUGUUUACUAGACAGGCGCUUUGACCAGCUAAGCCACAGAGCCCCUUUUUGCAUUUAUGUUCAGUUAUAUCAUAUUUAUACCAUCUUCUGUGAAAUGUAGCAGUUUGUCAGAAAUUUACUUGAUUUUGUGGCAAAGGGAAGAUAGCUGUGUUUCUGAGAUUUUACUAAAACAGAAACUUCAACAUUUAAGAAAUGCAUUCUUCAAUGCAAGGUUUUAAAAAUUCCAAAUUUAAAAAAAAAAAAAAAAAAGGGUUAAAUUCCCAUUUUAUGGUGACUAUUGCCAUCUAGAGGAAAUAUUGGAUAUUGCAGCACCUUUUAAUUUGGUUUCUGCUUUAAUUCACUCAUUUUGUCCACAAAUGUGUGCUUUCCUUAUACAAUUUGUAAUCUAGACGGAGGUAAAGAAAGCAAGUGUAAAUAAUCCACCCUAACCCCCCCCCCAACAAAACAAUGACGUAACCACUACCGCCAGGUUACACACCUACAGUGCUACCUUCUGAGCUAGUUUAUUGUAUUUGAACAAGACUAUCAUGCUUCCUUCCAUUUUAUCUAAUUUGGCUCAAGAAAGCGAGCAGAGAUGGGGACACGUGGACGCAGAGAUUUUCAGCCACCCUGCUUCCAACUUGGCCAAACCAGACAAUGUCAUGCCCUUUCUCUCAAGGAUGGCUUGGAGCUCCACAGAUGUGUGGCUCAGCAUGGAGUUCCACAGGAGGAAACUUCAGGCACAGUCUAGUUCUGUUUGUGGACCUGCUGGGUUAAAACGGACUUGAUGUCUGUCUUCAUCAAGACAGAAAAACUGAGUGGAGGAUACAGAGAAGCCAGAAGAAAACUGGGGUGAGAAAUCACAUGGGAGAUUACCCUGGGACAGAUCCUCCAUAAACCUGCCUUCCUCUGGAACAUCUCUGGCUUUUCCAGUCUACCCUGUAUCUGACCUAGUUGCCUUUCUUAACACCUUAACACCUCAAGAUUGAUGCGUUCCCUUUGUUCCCACGUCCUGCUGCCAUACUUCUCUUUAUAUAAGCUAAUCUGUUUAUUGUACAUCGUUUUAAUAUGUAUGUUUUGUAAAAUUGACAUCGCAUGGACAUAUAUUAUAAAUUUAUAUAAAUGGUAUAUAUUUUUAUGUCUUUUAAAAUUAUGACUUCAAGAGCCAUCAAAAUUAUCCCAUGUCUACCUAAGUCAUGGCUCCUAACUGCUAUAUAAAAUCCCAUGGUGGGUACUCACGAUGUGUUUUCUCUCUUCUGUCCCAAUGGUGCACUCACAGGUUGCCUCCACUGUCUCCAAUUCCAAAUAACACCACCUUUUCACCCACCCCCUUUAUGUCUGUGUUUGCAAAUUUCACUGGGAUGUAGGAGUGGAAUGGCUAAUUAAUCCCAGUCUCCAGGCCACACUCCCCCUGUCCACACAGCCUUGUCACAGCUUGACCCUUUUCAGCUUUCUACUUUGUAAUCUAACAUGUGUAAUGAGUCUCAUCACUGUUUUUUUUUUUUAAUUUGCAUUUAUGGUUUCUAAAGACUCUGAGCAUCUGUUUAUGUGUCUGUUCCCUACUGGCACUCCAUCUUAAUGACAUUGACUCUUUUCUUAUAAUGAGCCCAUGUUCUUAUUGAGGUUGGUUUGUCUUUCACAUUGAUGCACAGGGGAUAUAUUGUGUACCGUGGUCAUUGGGCUACUGUGAAUUUUAGGUCUUGCAAUAUUAUCUCCCAAUGUGUUACCUGUCUGUUGACUUGUCAGUGGAGGAACUUAAUGACAGAUCCUUGAUUUUGUUAAGGAUUCCUCUCUUCCACCCCAGGGUUUGUACUUUUAUAGUUAUGCUUAAAGGGUCUUUCUCUGUUAUUAAGUUAAAAAAUGUUCUCUCUAAAAAACAAAAGCUGUGUACAUUUUCUUUUUCACAUUUGAGAUGUUGAUCGAUCUAGUAUUGAGUAUCCAUCUAGAUAAUAUCUAGAUUAUCCAUCUAGAUAAGCGUGUUUGUUUUUUAUAUGACAAUCUAUUAAAACUGUAUCUUCUGGUUCUCAAA